rnacentral:lncRNA from 1 species
UUGAAGCCCAGCUGCCCAGCAUGGUGAUGGCGGUCGGUGGAUGGAACACGGACCAGGGAGGGCCAAGGGCUCUUCAACCUCUUCGACUUUGAGACUUCAAUGGGGAAAUUGGGAAAGUCAGGAGAUAGAAGAGUGAAGAGAAGAGGAAGAGCCAAAGAGGAUGGGUUUAAGGGUUUAAUGGGAUUAAAAGGAUAGAGGUCUGACCUUGGCUCUGGCAAGGUGUUGAAGCGCAGCUCCCAGCACGGCAAUACGGCAGCACGAUGUUGAAGCCUCCGCUCUCUGGCAAUAAAGUUCAAAACCCUAAAGAGGAAAAGAAAAGAUUAAGGAAUACUAAGACUUGAGAUCUAGAGGAAGGGGAUUUGGAGGAUCCUUACCCAAAACGAUGUACGAUGAUGGCCGAAGACAGGAAGACAAUGUCAGUGAUGGUCGAUGACAAUGAGAGAAGAUGGAGGAUCGAUGUCACGGAUCAAGGACAGAACACGCCAAAAGGGGAAGACGGAAGAUCUGUCGACAAAUAGGGGAAGACGAUGAUGGCGGUCGGUGGAUAGAACAUGGACCAGGGAUGGAUGAUCGACUUUGACAGAUGGGGAAGAAUUGAAGAUGGAGAAGAGAAGAGGAAGAGCGGAAGUGAGAAGUCUGA